rnacentral:lncRNA from 1 species
UCGUUCAAAGAAAUUGAUAUGAGGUCCUCCACUAGUUCUCCCUACUCUUCAGUCAGUUCAUCAUGGGUGUCUAGUCCUUCAAUAGGAAGAACUUCGAAUCUUCAUGCUCCUUGAAGAGCAAUUGUGUAGCAAUGUCGUGCUAGCACCUGAUCUCUGCCAGUAAAUGGUAGGUUGAAACUAUGGCUUUAAGGGUGCUUAGCUCAGGUCGAUUAAAGCAUUGUAUAUCAACAGUACCCUUAUGAUGAAGAAAUUGACAUGGGUGGUGGACUGUCGAGCCUCCUAAUCAGCCGUAACUAGCAGAGUAAUAACUCUGUCAACUGGUAUGGCAUCUUCGGUAAAACCUACGAGAGGAGAAUCCAGCCUACCCAACUAAUCUG